rnacentral:rRNA from 1 species
CCUACGGGAGGCAGCAGUGGGGAAUAUUGGACAAUGGGCGCAAGCCUGAUCCAGCCAUGCCGCGUGAGUGAUGAAGGCCUUAGGGUUGUAAAGCUCUUUUGCCAGGGAAGAUAAUGACUGUACCUGGAGAAUAAGCCCCGGCUAACUUCGUGCCAGCAGCCGCGGUAAUACGAAGGGGGCUAGCGUUGUUCGGAAUCACUGGGCGUAAAGCGCACGUAGGCGGACUUUUAAGUCAGGGGUGAAAGCCUGAGGCUCAACCUCAGAACUGCCCUUGAUACUGGGAGUCUUGAGUAUGGUAGAGGUUGGUGGAACAGCAAGUGUAGAGGUGAAAUUCGUAGAUAUUUGCUAGAACACCAGUGGCGAAGGCGGCCAACUGGACCAUAACUGACGCUGAGGUGCGAAAGCGUGGGGAGCAAACAGGAUUAGAUACCCUGGUAGUCCACGCCGUAAACGAUGGAUGCUAGCCGUUAGCCAGCUUGCUGGGUAGUGGCGCAGGUAACCCUUUAAGCAUCCCGCCUGGGGAGCGGUCGCAAGNUUAAAACUCAAUGAAUUGACCGGNUGNGAGNGCGACGACGACGACGAGGGAGAGG